CGGACGGGUGAGUAACGCGUGAGAAUCUAGCUUCAGGUCUGGGACAACCACUGGAAACGGUGGCUAAUACCGGAUGUGCCGGAAGGUGAAAGGCUUGCUGCCUGAAGAUGAGCUCGCGUCCGAUUAGCUAGUAGGUGGGGUAAGAGCCUACCUAGGCGACGAUCGGUAGCUGGUCUGAGAGGAUGACCAGCCACACUGGGACUGAGACACGGCCCAGACUCCUACGGGAGGCAGCAGUGGGGAAUUUUCCGCAAUGGGCGAAAGCCUGACGGAGCAAUACCGCGUGAGGGAGGAAGGCUCUUGGGUUGUAAACCUCUUUUCUCAGGGAAGAACACAAUGACGGUACCUGAGGAAUCAGCAUCGGCUAACUCCGUGCCAGCAGCCGCGGUAAUACGGAGGAUGCAAGCGUUAUCCGGAAUGAUUGGGCGUAAAGCGUCCGCAGGUGGCUGUGUAAGUCUGCUGUCAAAGAGCAAAGCUCAACUUUGUAAAGGCAGUGGAAACUACACGGCUAGGGGGCGUUCGGGGCAGAGGGAAUUCCUGGUGUAGCGGU
rnacentral:rRNA from 1 species